rnacentral:rRNA from 1 species
UACGGAGGAUGCGAGCGUUAUCCGGAAUCAUUGGGUUUAAAGGGUCCGUAGGCGGGCUAAUAAGUCAGGGGUGAAAUCGUUCAGCUCAACUGAGCAACUGCCUUUGAAACUGUUAGUCUUGAAUAGUUGUGAAGUAGUUGGAAUGUGUAGUGUAGCGGUGAAAUGCUUAGAGAUUACACAGAACACCGAUAGCGAAGGCAUAUUACUAACAAUUGAUUGACGCUGAUGGACGAAAGCGUGGGGAGCGAACAGGAUUAGAAACCCUUGUAGUCC